GAUGAACGCUAGCGGCAGGCCUAACACAUGCAAGUCGAGGGAGGAGCCUUCGGGCUUCGACCGGCGUACGGGUGCGUAACGCGUAUACAAUCUGCCUUUCACAUAGGGAUAGCCCGAAGAAAUUUGGAUUAAUACCUAAUGGUAUAUAGAUGUGGCAUCACCUUUAUAUUAAAGCUGAGGCGGUGAAAGAUGAGUAUGCGUUCUAUUAGCUAGUUGGAGAGGUAACGGCUCCCCAAGGCGACGAUAGAUAGGGGUUCUGAGAGGGAUAUCCCCCUCACUGGUACUGAGAUACGGACCAGACUCCUACGGGAGGCAGCAGUGAGGAAUAUUGGACAAUGGUCGGAAGACUGAUCCAGCCAUGCCGCGUGCAGGAAGACGGCCUUAUGGGUUGUAAACUGCUUUUGCAGGGGAAGAAUAAGGACUACGCGUAGUUUGAUGACGGUACUCUGCGAAUAAGCAUCGGCUAACUCCGUG
rnacentral:rRNA from 1 species